rnacentral:rRNA from 1 species
GUGGGGAAUAUUGGACAAUGGGCGAAAGCCUGAUCCAGCCAUGCCGCGUGUGUGAAGAAGGUCUUCGGAUUGUAAAGCACUUUAAGUUGGGAGGAAGGGCAGUAAGUUAAUACCUUGCUGUUUUGACGUUACCGACAGAAUAAGCACCGGCUAACUUCGUGCCAGCAGCCGCGGUAAUACGAAGGGUGCAAGCGUUAAUCGGAAUUACUGGGCGUAAAGCGCGCGUAGGUGGUUUUGUAAGUUGGAGGUGAAAUCCCCGGGCUCAACCUGGGAACUGCCUCAAAAACUGCAUGACUAGAGUACGUUAGAGGGUAGUGGAAUUUCCUGUGUAGCGGUGAAAUGCGUAGAUAUAGGAAGGAACACCAGUGGCGAAGGCGACUACCUGGACUGAUACUGACACUGAGGUGCGAAAGCGUGGGGAGCAAACAGGAUUAGAAACCCGUGUAGUCC